UGGGAACCUUCCCUAUGGUUCGGAAUAGCUCAGGGAAACUUGGGGUAAUACCGGAUAAGCCCUUCGGGGGAAAGAUUUAUCGCCAUUGGAUGGGCCCGCGUCGGAUUAGCUAGUUGGUGGGGUAACGGCCUACCAAGGCGACGAUCAGUAGCUGGUCUGAGAGGAUGAUCAGCCACACUGGGACUGAGACACGGCCCAGACUCCUACGGGAGGCAG
rnacentral:rRNA from 1 species